ensembl:snRNA U2 U2 spliceosomal RNA
AUCGCUUCUCGGCCUUUUGGUUAAGAUCAAGCGUAGUACCUGUUCUCGUCAGCUUAAUAUCUGACGCGUCCUCUGUUGGGGGACAGUAUAUGAGGUGAGUUUUUAAAGCUUGGAGCUGGACUAGGAGCUUGCUCCGUCCACUCCGCACAUCGCCCUGGUAUUGCAGUGCUUCCAGGAGCGGUGCCCCCCCC